rnacentral:tRNA from 1 species
GGAUUGUGGCUCAGUGUAAGAGCUCUUGCCUGGCAUGCAUGAGGCGCUGGGUUCGAUCCCUGGCACCA